rnacentral:sRNA from 1 species
UGGUCAGUUUUACCCGGUCGUAAGUGU